GAUGAACGCUGGCGGCGUGCUUAACACAUGCAAGUCGAACGGAAAGGCUCCUGCUUGCAGGGGUACUCGAGUGGCGAACGGGUGAGUAACACGUGGGUGAUCUGCCCUGCACUUCGGGAUAAGCCUGGGAAACUGGGUCUAAUACCGGAUAGGACGAUGGUUUGGAUGCCAUUGUGGAAAGUUUUUCGGUGUGGGAUGAGCUCGCGGCCUAUCAGCUUGUUGGUGGGGUAAUGGCCUACCAAGGCGUCGACGGGGAGCCGGCCUGAGAGGGUGUACGGCCACAUUGGGACUGAGAUACGGCCCAGACUCCUACGGGAGGCAGCAGUGGGGAAUAUUGCACAAUGGGCGCAAGCCUGAUGCAGCGACGCCGCGUGGGGGAUGACGGCCUUCGGGUUGUAAACUCCUUUCGCUAGGGACGAAGCGCAAGUGACGGUACCUGGAGAAGAAGCACCGGCUAACUACGUG
rnacentral:rRNA from 1 species